rnacentral:rRNA from 1 species
AUUGAACGCUGGCGGCAUGCCUUACACAUGCAAGUCGAACGGCAGCGGGGGAGAAGCUUGCUUUUCCUGCCGGCGAGUGGCGAACGGGUGAGUAAAGUAUCGGAACGUGCCCAGUCGUGGGGGAUAACGUAGCGAAAGUUACGCUAAUACCGCAUACGAUCUAUGGAUGAAAGCGGGGGAUCGCAAGACCUCGCGCGAUUGGAGCGGCCGAUAUCAGAUUAGGUGGUUGGUGGGGUAAAGGCUCACCAAGCCGACGAUCUGUAGCUGGUCUGAGAGGACGACCAGCCACACUGGGACUGAGACACGGCCCAGACUCCUACGGGAGGCAGCAGUGGGGAAUUUUGGACAAUGGGCGCAAGCCUGAUCCAGCCAUGCCGCGUGCAGGAUGAAGGCCUUCGGGUUGUAAACUGCUUUUGUACGGAACGAAAAGGUUUGACUUAAUACGUUGGACUCAUGACGGUACCGUAAGAAUAAGCACCGGCUAACUACGUGCCAGCAGCCGCCGUAA